CAUGCCUACAUACCUGAUUAUUACACUGUCAAAGCCAUAGAGGGUUUGGCUUAUGAAUACUGGAAAGUUUGACUGAUGAUCUAUAUAUGGCACGAGCUGUAGCUGCCGAGAGACCAAUUUAAGUGAAAGUAUUUUGAGAGAAGGCACAGACAUCAGGAAGAGUGAACCAUCAUGUCAUUUACAGUAGAUUCCUGCACUAAGGACAAAUAACUGCUGCACUGAUGACAUGUAUGUCAACUGCUUCCUUGUCCUCCUGAGGAAUGAGAUCAUAGCAUGAUAGAAAAAACUAACACAGUGCAAACACAACAAGGGACUGUGAAGGCUUUGGAAGACAAACAAUAAGUGGACUGAAACACUGGCCUCUUUCACAAGAGGGUCACUGAGUUUAGCUUUGUAACAGACUUUGCUUUAUAACAUAUUUGCACAGAUUUAAUUGACUGGAGUCACUUUGAAAAUGGAUGGACAGCUACCAACUCAUUUGUCUGUUCUACUAAACAGACUAUGUGAAACUGGGAGAUCAUUUAUUGAACUGUAUGAAGACAAACAAGACAGAAUGCAAGCCAUUACAUGUGAGCUUUUCAAGAUCUCUGCAGAGGUAAUAGAGAUGCAGGAAAACAAAAAUGCAAUCAGAACUGUUGGGGCUGUUGUAGGAGUAACAGGGGCAGUUGCAGUUUGGUUAACAGGAAGGUCUGGGCAAAGCAUGGCAGUCUUUGGCACUCUAGCAAUUGGAGGUGCAGUUUCUGUUAUCACAGCUAAUAGAAGCAAAGAAAAGAUGGAGAAAAUAAAAACACGAAUUGUGGAACAGUUGAUAGAAGAAUUCUUGACAAUUGUUGAGCCACACAAUGUUGCACUGGAGAGAAUCAAGAAGGUAUCUGAGGACGUGGAGAAAGAAUCCUCUUCAUUAAUGACAAAAACUCAAGCCCAGGCAAAAAACACUCUGUUGAUAUCAAAUCAGCUUCUGAGGCAAACAGCUAAACUGACAGAACAGAGCAGGGAAGUUAGGGAUGUAACAGUAAACCUAGAGAGGAAAGUGAAGGAACUAUUAGACUUACUUAUCAGUAUCACACGAAUCAUUCCAACGCCUGGGGAGGAUAAAGAGUUGGUAAAGUAUUUCACAGAGUCUGCCUCAAAGUGUCAGAAAACUGUUGAUGAGUUUGCAAAGAUGAGGAAUAUGCUCAAGGACUUUGACAGAAUAUAAUAAAAAUAAGUACUUAUGUGUGUAUCAGCAGUGCACACAUACAUUUGUUAUUGGUUUGACACAGCAUCAGUUUCACCAGUUUCAUAAUCAGCUCCAAAAGACUUAAAAUUUAAAAUCUUUAUUUUCUGUAUCAUGUUUUUAAAAAACAUAAUGGGUGUAGAAAAAAAGGCAGCUUUUACUUAUUCUGAAGGGGAGAGCGAUGUAUGAUGCAAUGUGUGUGAAUCUUUUGUUCCAGGAAGGUCUGCAAGUGUGGUUCACCUGCAAAGUGUUACCAAAACAGACACAUUGUUCACUACUGUUCACUGUAACAUAACUGAAACUAACUGUUUUACUACCACUGCGAAGUGGGAAGUCUCAAUCCAGAGUUGUCUCCUGUAUUGUUCUUCAACAGCUGAAUGAGAGUGCUUCUAAGAGUGCUUACUCAUCUAAUAUGCUGUUUAUAUCUAUAUUUCUCAAACUUCUAUAUAUAUAUAUAUAUUCUCUAAAAAGAAGAAAUUGUCACUCACUGUAUAUGGUGCCUCAUGCACCUGCAAGUCUUUUGGCACUUGUGUCAGGUUGAGGGAGGAACUGAUUAUUAAUGCACUUUUAUCCAAGAUGUUGCCUUGAUCUGCUGUAACUUAUUUGUAUGUCCACUUUGAGCAAAAGCAUUAAAACAAAUAAUUGUAAAUACAUAGAUAUGCAAUAGAAAACAGCUGCUGUCAGUCCUCUGCAUAGCAGAGUUAGCUGCUUUUUUUCGGACAGGGUUUUUUGACAGUUUAAACAGAUACUGUUUGUUGACUGGGAGAGGUUACUCACUUUAGUUAGUAAGCUUUUGUCAGACAUGCUUGCUGUUUCCCUGUGUUUCCAGUCUUUAUGCAAAACUAAGUGUUUUCUGGGUGUAGCAGUAUGGAUAGCAUACAGACAUGAAAGUGAUAUCUAUCUUCUCAUCAUUUUUAAUGCAUUGUUCCUUUAAGCAUAAAGUAUAUAAUAUGGCAGAUAAAUAGUGUGUCAUUCAGCCUCAUCAUCAAUGAUCAAUAAAUGUGGUGCCCCUGCAACAACACAAAUGGCAGACCCUCUUGGUUAAAAUGGACAUUUCAGACACUUAAAGGACAGCACUCCCUCCUUGUUUGUGGUCAGAGGCAAUAUAGAUUCAUUUUUUAGAAGAAAAUUCACAUUACAUUGCGACUGACUCCGACACUGUUGUCAUAUGUUUCCACUUUUUCUGUGAUUGUAUUCCUCUUCAUUAUUCAUUCAAACAGAGUCGGAGCAGUGGCCAGCACUUGUAGCUAAUGCCUUCCAUGUGUCUCUAAUUGCCUUGGUCGAGGUAUUUAACACAAGGUGAAGUCAUUAACACAUGGACACACUUGUCAGAUGUGGAGCCAGGCGGCUCUGGGUGAAAGAGUAGACAACAGAGAAUUAAAAAGCUCAGGUGACAUCCACAGUGUGGGGGACAGAUUCUCAAUUAUAAAAUAAAUAACAUAUAAAUAACUUUCUGUUCAAGAUUCUGUUACAUUAGACAUAACAUAGCUUCACUGAUCACCUUGAGUGCCAUGUAUUUCUGAGUUUAUCCAAUGCAGCUUUAUUUAAGACUCUGCAGGUGUCUGAGAAAAUCUAAUGCUUCAACUGAGACCAAAAAAAUGACUGAGAAAAGGUAACACAUUAAUUUAAAACCAUGAGAGUGAGAUAUGAUGUAGCACAUGAAACCUUAAACUGUAAUCAUACAAUAGAAGUGGGAUACAUGCCUAAGUCAACAGCCCCACCUGCUGUUCACCUGAGAACACUGCAUCUGUCCAGUCACAUGUAGAAACAGUUCGUCAGCAGAGAAAACAAACGGAGGAUAUGAAGACGUUUUUACACGUUACAAUAGGAAAAGCUGUCAAAAUGUCUGCAAUGAGCCUCUGUAGUAACAUUUAUCAGCUGAUAAAUGACAUGAAUUUAUAAUAGUUGAUGUUGAAACGAGAGAUUUUUACGUUCUUACGUCACAUAAACAGGCUUACAGCACGACAAAACACUGAUGUUAAUAGUUUAGAUUCCAGACAGUUUAGCCAGUUGAGUGUAAAAGAGGAGAUGAGGUUGCUAAGUGUAAAGAGUGUGUCCUAGCUGGAUAGUUAAACAUGUUGUACGAUGCAUCAGGUCUGCUGACUGGCACCCACACACAUUAAAAACAAGCUAAAAACAGAAAUAUCAGACAGAGCUGUUGAGAGUAGAAUCCAGCAGGUGGACAGUGUUCAUGUCUGUGUGAAUCAUAAUGGAAUCAAUACUCAGACUCUACUAUCUGACAGUUGAUACUGUUCCUGCUUUUAUUUGCGGUGCUUGGAUUUUCAGUCUUUAAGUUUUUAUUGAUCUAACAAGAGUGAAACUGAUGCACCACCUGGUGUGAUCACCCUUUAGGCUUAUUUAUAUUUUCAUCACACUGGCAGCUCCAUGGACGCCAAAGUGGGUCCAUCAGUCAAUCCAGCACCAGACUGAAAUAUCUCAACUAUUUCACUGUUUUUCUUCUCUACAAAAUCUCCAAUCUAUGACUUCCAGCCGAUAACACAGAGCUCUCUGUGUGUCUUUACAGUAAGCCAUAUGUGGCACACUGUGGUCUGUCCUUAGCUGUUAGAAGAAGCUCUGCACACAUCUCCGUCAGAGGGCUUCCCUUUAAGCCUAUCUGCCAUCAGCACACGGUCAGUGUAAACAUUUGAGGACAUCCCACACCGUCCAGCUGUGCCACAUACGUUCACGUGCCGAGAUGUCACACAAAAACACACACACACACACACAGUACAGAUGUGCAGAGGAACACCAGCAUAGUGUAUGUCACAGGGUGAGGCCA